GACGAACGCUGGCGGCGUGCUUAACACAUGCAAGUCGAACGGAAAGGCCCUGCUUUUGUGGGGUGCUCGAGUGGCGAACGGGUGAGUAACACGUGAGUAACCUGCCCUUGACUUUGGGAUAACUUCAGGAAACUGGGGCUAAUACCGGAUAGGAGCUCCUGCUGCAUGGUGGGGGUUGGAAAGUUUCGGCGGCUGGGGAUGGACUCGCGGCUUAUCAGCUUGUUGGUGGGGUAGUGGCUUACCAAGGCUUUGACGGGUAGCCGGCCUGAGAGGGUGACCGGCCACAGUGGGACUGAGAUACGGCCCAGACUCCUACGGGAGGCAGCAGUGGGGAAUAUUGCACAAUGGGCGGAAGCCUGAUGCAGCAACGCCGCGUGCGGGAUGACGGCCUUCGGGUUGUAAACCGCUUUCGCCUGUGACGAAGCGUGAGUGACGGUAAUGGGUAAAGAAGCACCGGCUAACUACGUG
rnacentral:rRNA from 1 species